UAAUUUAUAUUUUAAUUAAGAGUAUUAGAAAUUUAUUUGUUAGUUAUCAUGGGGGUGAUUUUUAUAGUUUACCAGUCUUUAAAAUUUUUUAAUAAAAAAGUUCCAUUAGUAGUGAUUCUGUGAUAAAAAUACUCUAGGGAUAACAGCGUUAUUAUUUUGGAUAGGUCAUAUAGAUAAAAUAGUUUGCGACCUCGAUGUUGGAUUAGGAUUCUUUUAUGAUGAAGAAGUUAUAAGGGAGAAGUUUGCUCAACUUUUAAAGACCUACUUGAUCUGAGUUCAGACCGGG
rnacentral:rRNA from 1 species